GAUGAACGCUGACAGAAUGCUUAACACAUGCAAGUCAACUUGAACUUCGGUUUGGGUGGCGGACGGGUGAGUCACGCGUAAAGAACUUGCCUCACAGAUAGGGACAACAUUUGGAAACGAAUGCUAAUACCUGAUAUUAUGAUUAUAUGGCAUCGUAUAAUUAUGAAAGCUAUAUGCGCUGUGAGAGAGCUUUGCGUCCCAUUAGCUAGUUGGAGAGGUAACGGCUCACCAAGGCGAUGAUGGGUAGCCGGCCUGAGAGGGUGAUCGGCCACAAGGGGACUGAGACACGGCCCUUACUCCUACGGGAGGCAGCAGUGGGGAAUAUUGGACAAUGGACCAAGAGUCUGAUCCAGCAAUUCUGUGUGCACGAUGAAGUUUUUCGGAAUGUAAAGUGCUUUCAGUUGGGAAGAAAAAAAUGACGGUACCAACAGAAGAAGUGACGGCUAAAUACGUG
rnacentral:rRNA from 1 species